rnacentral:rRNA from 1 species
UACGAAGGGUGCUAGCGUUAUUCGGAAUAACUGGGCGUAAAGAGCGUGAAGACGGUUUUUUAAGUCAUCUGUUAAAUGGCCCGGCUUAACUGGGCAAAUGCGGGUGAAACUGAAGAACUAGAGUGCAGGAGAGAAAGGUAGAAUUCUCGGAGUAGCGGUAAAAUGCGUAGAUCUCGAGAGGAAUACCGGUUGCGAAGGCGGCCUUUUGGCCUGCUACUGACGUUCAAGCGCGAAAGCGUGGGGAG